CACACGAGCAGUACGUGCGGUUAUGCACGCC
rnacentral:sRNA from 1 species